UACGUAGGCAGCGAGCGUUGUUCGGAGUUACUGGGCGUAAAGGGUGUGUAGGCGGUUGUUUAAGUUUGGCGUGAAAUCUCCCGGCUCAACUGGGAGGGUGCGUCGAAUACUGAAUGACUUGGAGUGCGGGAGAGGAAAGUGGAAUUCCUGGUGUAGCGGUGAAAUGCGCAGAUAUCAGGAGGAACACCGGUGGCGAAGGCGGUUCUCUGGGCCUUACCUGACGCUGAGGAGCGAAAGCAUGGGGAGCAAACAGG
rnacentral:rRNA from 1 species